GACGAACCGUGCGAACGUUGUUCGGAAUCACUGGGCUUAAAGGGCGCGUAGGCGGCUCGGCCAGUCCGGGGUGAAAGCCCCCAGCUCAACUGGGGAAGUGCCUUGGAUACUGCCGGGCUCGAGCGAGAUAGGGGUCGUGGGAACUUCCGGUGGAGCGGUGAAAUGCGUUGAUAUCGGAAGGAACGCCGGUGGCGAAAGCGCACGACUGGAUCUCUUCUGACGCCGAGGCGCGAAAGCCAGGGGAGCAAACGGG
rnacentral:rRNA from 1 species